UGUAUCAAUUUUCUCUUCUUAUGUAUGGUUUAUAUAAGUUGUACACUACCUAGCUACAGCUAUACCCUUUCUGUAUAAUGGGGUGAUUCUUCAAGGUAUGACUUUUCCAAAAUGAACAGAGUUGCUCAUAGACUGGGGCAUUGAAUUUGUUGUCAAAGAUCUUUCCUUGAUUACAGACGCUUCAUGGAGUUAUUAGUAACACAAAUAUUUAUCGUAGAAAUUAGAAAGAUAAUGAACCGCUCUGAUAAUUUUAUCGAACCUGGAUUGCAGGCGCUUCAUGGAGUUAUCAUGAUACAACUGUUUACAAUGUUGGGCAUGAUAUGACAGCAACAGCAAUGGGUUCUAGCCUCUGCGUGCUGUAAGGAAAGCAAGGUCAGUCAAACAUCUUCAUCAUGAAAUAUGGAAUAUAUGAGAAGGAUUUGUAGGUGAUAACAAAUUAGAUUCUAUUCUAGGUCAAGGGGUUAAGGACCUUUUUGAGGAAGAUACUAUAAUGCUGCUCCAUUUUUAAGUAGAGGCAAUAACUUGUCCAUCAAUUGGAGCAUCAAGCUCGGCAUGAUGCGUCUCAGUUUCAAGCACUUGUUUGUCCGACGGACUUACCGUUUUAUGAAUAUUUUUGUAAGCCGUUUUAUGGUUUUUUAUAAGCCAUUUUAUAAAUCGUAGAAGCUUAUAAAUGUACAGGAGACUGAAAAUUUUGUGUACAUGUUAGUGUU